AUUCUGUAGGUGGUGAUGCUUGCUUCUGCUGCUUGAGCCAAGGUUGUGUUCAAUGGGCUUCAGCUGCAAUUUGCCAUUAAUACUGAUGCACCUCGAUAGCAUUCUUGUUACUGUUUCCUUUGCUCUGCUUCCAGAAAUAUUCUACCUAAAAACCUCUUCAUCAAUUUUUCCCUAUCAUUUGAUGUUUUUCUUCAUCUGUGAAGUGAUUCAUGUCAUGUUUCAAAUCUCAGUAGCUGUUCUUUAUGUAAACCUGCAAAAACUUCUGAGAGGUAGAUAACCUUGUUUCUUAGUCUUUUUUCCUCUUUCUUUAUGGCUUUUCAUAUCAUGUAAUAGUACUAUCUAUCACCUGUAAAGUAUAAAUAAGGUUUUGUUUGUUUUUAGAUAUCUUUUAGCCCAUUUAAAAUAACUUCACUGCUGAGAAUCUAGCUCUGUCACUUCCUAGUGCUCUCUGAGUUCUGCUUGUCUCUUUCUCUAGCUCAAGCAACUUCUGAAUUCUAAACCUAGUACUUUUUACAUCUCCUAUCUCAGGUGCUUUGCAUCAGAGAGGAGGAUUAUUAACUUUUCAGUUAUUUCUUGUACUUCAAAUCACUUGAAGCCUUCCUAUUUCACAUGUUGCAAUCCUAGAGAAACUUUUUCAGGCUUGGAUUCCCAUUCUAUUCACGCAUUUUCAAAGGGUUUCUCUCAGUAAUUCCUAUUCUAAUGAGUGGAGUUACUGCCUCUUCCAUCUGAACCUGCUUUCAGCUUCUGAUAAACCCAGCGACUCAUUGUCCAGCUUCCUGUUCCUGAUAUGCAGAACACAUGUCAGAACAACUGGAGGGAUGACAACAAUGAGAGAUGAAAAAUGAUUUGCACUUUUUGUCUACUUGGUUUAUUUGAAAGUUUCUACAGUUAGGUUUCUGCUGUCAAAUUACAUCAGCGUUUAGACAUCAGGACUCCUGUCAUGAGAAUAUCAUAGCUGGAUGAUCACAGCUGGCCAUCAGGGAGCAGCUGGAGUCUACUGGUUCAGCAGGAAUGAUGGCUUCGACUUGAGCUUCUCAAUGACUGUCACAGUUGCAGUGUCAAGCAAUCUAUUUCAUGUAUUGAACUGCAAUUUCCUUUUGAUUUCAGUAUCGAUUGUGGAACACUAACUUAUGUGUACCACAAAGUUUCUACCACUUUUUUUUACUUUUCUGGUACUACAUGUGACUCCUCAGAAAAUACAACAACAACAACAACCCUUUUUGUGCCUGUUUUGUCUGUGUAGUACCAAAAUGUCUUUGCACAAAAUGCCAGCAGUUGCUCAAAUACUCAUUGUGCAUUGUAUGAUUUUUCUUUUUCUCCCUCUGAUUUUGACUGAAUUGUGAGAUAACUCUGAAGAAUCAAAUAAAAAGGAAGCAU
rnacentral:lncRNA from 7 species